CACGGCGGCCUGUCCUCUCUGAGUACGCACAACAGCACGGGUCCUCUUCCUGGGGAUAGCACGGCAGCGCCGCCAUGAAUCAAGCCGCCGCGCGCGGCCGGUAUACCUUUCCCGCUACCCUCCAGCAGCGCGGCCGUUGCCCUUUUCUUCCCCUCCUCACCCGCCCCAACUCCUCACCCCCAGCCUCCUCGGCCUCAACGCGGACGUCUCCGAUUUGGAUAGGAUUCGACGCCGCCACGCGCGGCCGGUCUUCCUCUCUAGCUAUCCUCCAGCAGCGCCGCCGUUGCCCUGUUCUUCGCCUCCUCACCCGCCCCAACUCCUCACCCCCAGCCUCCUCCGCCUCGAGGAGGACGGCUCCGAUUUGGAGCUCAAGUACUGCCUCCUGACACCUCCAUCCCCAAGUACGUCCUCCCGUCAGACGAGGACGAGAUUUGGAUUGGGGCGCAACAGAGAUGAGGAAGGACAAAGCAUGAAUAGCUCCAGUGAGAGUGAACGGAUAUGAACACCACAACCCUCUCAGGGGUUGUUGGCUGAUCAGGAUACCUCUAACACCCCGAGUGUCAUGCUACAGUAAUCCCCUGUUAAUGGUGUCAUGUCAUCAUGUUACUGUUGCUAAUCUUCACUUGAUCCUAAUCACACUUCAAAUUCAAAUCUAAUCUGAAGUCAAAAAUUCAUAUUUGCCAAACCUGAAAACUGAAAUGUUCAAAGUGUGGCAAAUAAUCUCUGGUUAUUUGUCAUGUUGAAACCUAUAUUUUAGAGUGUGUUUUUAAUGCCCUAAGCUAAUAAAACAGUGGCCAAGGCUUUAAUUAAAAUGAUUGUCUAAUUUAUGAAAAAUCCAAAACAUUUCAAAAGCCUCCCAAACUUUUUGUGGCAACGCUCAUUAUUGACUAGUAUUUGUUCUGUCCACCUCCACAUUUUUUUGCAAAGUCAUUUUUGUGGCUUAAAUGCAAAUGGAGGAUGUUAAAAGAAAACAGAAAAAUAAAAGGGAGAUCAGAAAUAAAAGAAAAAGGAGCAAGGCCCCAACCCCGACCUGGGCCUCGACCACCCGACCGGCCCAGCCCACCAAC